AGAGUUUGAUUCUGGCUCAGGAUGAACGCUAGCUACAGGCUUAACACAUGCAAGUCGAGGGGCAGCGGGAAGUUAGCUUGCUAACUUGCCGGCGACCGGCGCACGGGUGAGUAACGCGUAUCCAACCUUCCCCUUAGUAGGGCAUAGCCCGGCGAAAGUCGGAUUAAUACCCUAUGUUUUUCCAAUGAGGACAUCUGAGCUGGAAUAAAGAUUCAUCGCUAAGGGAUGGGGAUGCGUCCGAUUAGCUUGUUGGCGGGGUAACGGCCCACCAAGGCGACGAUCGGUAGGGGUUCUGAGAGGAAGGUCCCCCACACUGGUACUGAGACACGGACCAGACUCCUACGGGAGGCAGCAGUGAGGAAUAUUGGUCAAUGGGCGCGAGCCUGAACCAGCCAAAAGUAGCGUGCAGGAUGACGGCCCUAUGGGUUGUAAACUGCUUUUAUAGGGGAAUAAAGUUUCCUACGUGUAGGAUUUUGUAUGUACCCUGUGAAUAAGGACCGGCUAAUUCCGUGCCAGCCGCCGC
rnacentral:rRNA from 1 species